rnacentral:rRNA from 1 species
UACGGGGGGAGCAAGCGUUGUUCGGAUUUACUGGGCGUAAAGGGCGCGUAGGCGGCCACCGCAAGUCGACUGUGAAAUCUCCGGGCUUAACCCGGAAAGGUCAGCCGAUACUGCGGGGCUAGAGUGCAGAAGGGGCAACUGGAAUUCUCUGUGUAGCGGUGAAAUGCGUAGAUAUCGAGAGGAACACCUGCGGCGAAGGCGGGUUGCUGGGCUGACACUGACGCUGAUGCGCGAAAGCUAGGGGAGCGAACGGG